rnacentral:rRNA from 1 species
UCCGGUGGUCAUAGCUUGAAGGUAACACCCGUUCCCAUUCCGAACACGCAGGUUAAGCUUCAAAGCGCCGAUGGUACUGCAUUGGAAACGAUGUGGAAGAGUAGGUCGUUGCCGGGU